AUUGAACGCUGGCGGCAUGCUUUACACAUGCAAGUCGAACGGUAACAGGCCGCAAGGUGCUGACGAGUGGCGAACGGGUGCGUAAUGCAUCGGAACGUGCCCAGUCGUGGGGGAUAACUACUCGAAAGAGUAGCUAAUACCGCAUACGAUCUAUGGAUGAAAGCGGGGGACCGUAAGGCCUCGCGCGAUUGGAGCGGCCGAUGUCAGAUUAGGUAGUUGGUGGGGUAAAGGCUCACCAAGCCAACGAUCUGUAGCUGGUCUGAGAGGACGACCAGCCACACUGGGACUGAGACACGGCCCAGACUCCUACGGGAGGCAGCAGUGGGGAAUUUUGGACAAUGGGCGCGAGCCUGAUCCAGCAAUGCCGCGUGCAGGAAGAAGGCCUUCGGGUUGUAAACUGCUUUUGUACGGAACGAAACGGCUCUGGUUAAUACCCGGGGCUAAUGACGGUACCGUAAGAAUAAGCACCGGCUAACUACGUG
rnacentral:rRNA from 1 species